AGUUUCAACAUCAACCACCACUGAACAAACUACUACAACACCCAUGAAAACCUCGUUAACUGUAAUGUCCACCUCUGAAACUACAACAUACAGUAAAACUGCAGAUCUCCAAACCAAGAUAAACCUGACAACCAGUACAGGAAAGGAAAAAAUAAAAGUUCAGCCACUCUUUCCUGAUGGUA